rnacentral:ncRNA from 2 species
UAUUUGCAUCCGAAUUAAGGUUGUGUUUUACUUUUUACGAAAACACAUUAAAAGGGAAUUAGGUUCAAAACCUAAGCUGUUCCCGCAACUGUAAGCUAUCAAGCUUGUUGUUAUCUACAAAGCCACUGUUUUUAAAAGAAUGGGAAGGUGAACAACAAGACGCAAGCCAGGAGACCUGCCUUUUUUCUUAACGAAUA